rnacentral:tRNA from 1 species
ACCUGGUUGGCUCAGUUGGUGGAGCAUGUGACUCUUGAUCUCAGGGUUGUGAGUUCAAGCCCCAUAUUGGGCA